rnacentral:tRNA from 1 species
GGGGACAUGGCUCUGUGGUAAAGCAUCUGCUUGGUGUGCAGAAGGUCCCAGGUUCAAUCCCAGCCAUCUCCA